rnacentral:lncRNA from 1 species
UACAGAGUCAAUGUGGAGGCUAUAUACAGGGGGUACCGGUACAGAGUCAAUGUGGAGGCUAUAUACAGGGGGUACCGGUACAGAGUCAAUGUGGAGGCUAUAUACAGGGGGUACCGGUACAGAGUCAAUGUGGAAGCUAUAUACAAGGGGUACCGGUACAGAGUCAAUGUGGAGGCUAUAUACAGGGGGGUACCGGUACAGAGUCAAUGUGGAGGCUAUAUACAGGGGGUACCGGUACAGAGUCAAUGUGGAGGCUAUAUACAGGGGGGUACCGGUACAGAGUCAAUGUGGAGGCUAUAUACAGGGGGUACCGGGACAGAGUCAAUGUGGAGGCUAUAUACAGGGGGAACCGGUACAGAGUCAAUGUGGAGGCUAUAUACAGGGGGUACCGGUACAGAGUCAAUGUGGAGGCUUUAUACAGGGGGUACCGUACAGAGUCAAUGUGGAGGCUAUAUACAGGGUAUUACGGUACAGAGUCAAUGUGGAGGCUAUAUACAGGGGUACCGGUACAGAGUCAAUGUGGAGGCUAUAUACAGGGGGUACCGGUACAGAGUCAAUGUGGAGGCUAUAUACAGGGGGUACCGGUACAGAGUCAAUGUG